ensembl:snoRNA
ACCCCCUGGCAAUGAGCAAAGGGACACCUUGAUGGUGAUGGUGUUCUUACAUCAGUCAGAGACAGAGCAAAUGGCAGUCCUUUGUUCAUCCUAGCUUGACACCUGGCUUGUAGUGCAAAGCUGUCUUAUGCCUAGGACUCAUAA